UUCAAAUUAUUUCUAAUUAAUAUUAAAGAGCCACCUCUGAUGGCGUUUUUUCUACUGAACGAACUUGCUACUUGGUGAUCAUGGAGAUUGAAAAUGAGUUCAUGUUCCCUAAACCAGUGUUCUGAAAUACAAAUAAUAUCAAUAUUAAACUCUUUUAGAAACAACUCAAUUUCAAGCUCUUUACCUACCAUUCCUUGUAAAUUCUGAUGCACCAAUUUAAUCACAUUAUAUUUA